CUUUAAAUGCACGCAAGUGUGAUAAGGGAACCCUAAGUGCUCAUGUUUUACAUGGGCUUUUGCCAAGAGUAAACAUCUUGGCGAAUAAGUGGUGGGAAAGACCGGUGGCAGCAGCCGCGGUAAUACCGGCGCCCCAAGCGGUGGUCGUUUUUAUUGGGCCUAAAGCGUUCGUAGCUGGUUUGGUUAGUCUUUGGUGAAAUCCAUGCGCUCAACGUAUGGGCGAGCCAGAGAUACUAUCAAGCUUGAGACCGGGAGAAGUAAGGAGUAUUCCUAGGGUAAGGGUAAAAUCUUGUAAUCCUGGGAGGACUACCGGUGGCGAAGGCGCCUUACUAGAACGGGUCUGACAGUGAGGGACGAAAGCUGAGGGAGCGAACGGGAUUAGAUACCCCGGUAGUCUCAGCUGUAAACUCUGCAUGUUAGGUGUUGCGCAUCGUUCGUCGGUGUGCAGUGUCGAAGUGAAGACGUUAAGCAUACCGCCUGGGAAGUAUGGUCGCAAGGCUGAAACUUAAAGGAAUUGGCGGGGGAGCAC
rnacentral:rRNA from 1 species